CGGAAGUGAGAGCGUGCUGGGGUCAAAUGGUUGAGGCCAAAUCUGUAAACGGGAGGAACGGGGAUCCCUGGGGAAGGAAUCCGGGCUGAAUUUGAAUCCCUCAGGAGUCAGAGGGACUUAGGAACAGAGCAGGUGGUAGAGAAGACAGUUGGAAGGGAGCAGGAAAAGAGUCUUGGAUUUCAACCGUGAGUGCGCCCAGCUGGAAGCUCAAAGGCGGUGAUCACCAACACCUGCUCACAUCACUAACAGAGUAUGCCUCUUUGCCAGAAAGUCCAGUCUGAAUCUAAAUAAGCCCCAAAUUUAACCACAAGCUUGGAGGAAUACAGAAGACCCAGGAGCAUGUUAAAUCACCCCUUCAAGAUGUUUGGAAUUUUCCAUAAUAAACAAUUGUUUUUGAAAGCCCACUCUGGACAGGGAAAAUGGAAUAUUAUCUUCCUCUUUACAUUCCUGCUACAACAAUCCUAACCUUCCCGGAGGCAAACGGAUGCUCAGAAACUGCACACAGGAUUGUAAUAGAGAAAAGCAACUGACACAUUUCCAAAAAUAUUAUCCCCAUUUCAGAAAAUUUAUUUUUGGUGGAAAAUGCCAAGUUUCAUCUUAUGUGUGUUGACAUUGAGAUUCCCAGUCCCAGCAGGAGUUGAAAAUGCAAGACUCCUGCCUGGGAGACAUAUCAGGGCUGACACUGUAGCUGACAUCACCAGUAGAAAAAGUAUGGGCAGAAAAGGAAAAGACCAGGACUUGGGUAGAGUUUUCCUUCCUUCCUUCCUUCCUUCCUUCCUUCCUUCCUUCCUUCCUUCCUUCCUUCCCUCAUUGAAAAAUAUAUGAGAUAUGUACGUAUGAGGUAUUGGAACCUGGGGGUGGAAAGUGAGGUUUAUUGAGGAAGAAAGGCACUUCAACAAAGAUGUGAAAGCAUUAAGUUCUGUAAUCAAGGUACACAAAAGAUGUAGUGGAUACACAGAAGACCUUUUCAGUUUGUCUGAAGGACAAAUGGUCAUGUUUCAGAAACCAGAGCAAAAAGUGAAGCUGAGACCAGUAGCCAUGUCUUAGUUCUGGAUAAUUAAGAUGUUUUUCUUCCUGGUGAAAGGAACGUUCUUUUUCUGCUAACUUCCUUCCUUGCUGCCUCCUGCUUUUGAAUACAGUAGGAGAGGAUUAUAUUCGGAGCAACUGCAGCUAUCUUGUGACUAGUAGCAAACAAGCAUGAGAACAAAAUAUCAAUAUAUUGAAGAGGCUUGAAAGUGCCUGGGUCCUUGAUGACAUUGCUGAACUGCUAAGCAAACCCUAAACAGUCUACUUCUGGACUUGUUGAGUAAAUAAUAAAUGUUAUUAGAGUGAAGACACUGUUCAGUUGAAUACUCUAUGACUGGCAAUGAUGUGAACUCCCAACCGAUGCAGUGUCUCUUCCCUACCAAACCAUGAAUUACUUGGAGAAGCAGUACAGCAUAAUGGUUCCAAUGAGCCUGUGGUGAUGUUUAUGAGACUACUAAUGACACCAAUGAAAGAUUGGUGUGGGCAGAGGUCAGACUCCAAAAGAGUGAGUGGGUGGUAAAUGUUACCUUCUAGGACGCCCUCGACACGCUGAGGAAGAGUAUAAAAAGAGGUCAGGGUCAAAGCCAAAGAUGGGUGGAGUGAGAAGGUAGGGGGUAAAUGAAUGUCCUUGCCCUCUGGGUGUUCCCUCUCUGGGCUCCUUUUGCCGGGUCCCUUCUCCCACCACACAGAUGAUGUCUCAGACUGGGCUGCCUCCUGCUUUUAUAGCAGCUACAGACACUUUCCUGUCACGAAAAGAGAAAAAGCAAUGGCGUCUUGAGAGAGGAGCAGAAUCAAGGAAAGAGUUUUGUGUUUUGUUUUGUUUUGUUUUUUUAGGGUGGGAAGAUUUGAGCAUGUUUGUGGACCGGAGGGAGGGAGAAACUGAAGGUAGAGAGAAAAGGGGGUAAUUCAAUGGAGCAAGAUUGAGGAGGUAUAAAGAAUCCAGAGACAUAGAGAAAAGGAGGAUUUUUUCUUGUGGGGGAAAAAAAAGGCAAAUUGAAGAGAACCUACAGAGAAACGUUGAGGGGAAGGAAAUUCAGAGACUGUUCCUAACCCACUCAGCCUCAGAAAGUGAGUCGUUUUGGUGAGAUGAAAGUGAGAUUAAACAGAACUUGGUCUCUGGUGGCCUCACGAGUGCUGUUUCCCUGUGGGAUCCCCAGGGUCAAGGGCUCAGACUUUGGCCCUCUGUUUUAGAAAUGAAUUCUGUCCGUAUGAGCAGACUUGCUUAGGUUGUGAGCCCUUGUCCUAUACUAACCUAGUUAGUCACUCCUGGACUUGAGACUUGAGCUCUGUUGGCAAGACCCUCAGCAUUAUAAGUUUCACUGUCGCUAUUUUCAGAAUGAUUUGGAAAGUAAUACUUAUGUCAAAGUGCUGCUGUUAUAAUCAAACCUGGUCACUCGUGUGUGUUACCUUUGAACACAGUGCUCAGGAAAAUGUUAACUGUUAUUAUUUAUUUAACGUUUAUUUAUUUUUGAGGUAGUGAGAGAGAGCAUGAAUGGGGGAGAUGGAGACAGAGGGAGAUAGAGGAUCCGACGCAGACUCUACGCUGUGAGCACAGAGCCCAAUGCAGGGCUCGAGCCCACGAACUGCGAGAUUAUAUCCUGAGCUGAAAUCAAGAGUCAGCCGCUUAACCGACUGAGCCACCCAAAUCUUAACUAUUAUAUCUUAUUCCACAAAGUCAUUGAGCAACUACUGUGUACCCAGCGCUGAGCUGGGUGCUAGGAUACAUGUCAUACUUGUCUUCAAGAUGCUCUUGUUAAUGCCACCAGGGGAAUAAACAUAUGCAGCGGGUAAAAGUUUCCAUUUGAGAAACUCCAGAGAAUCUGGAGUAAAAUGCAUCUAGGGAAUAAAGCCAGAAUGGUACUUAAUUUUUGUUUCAGGAAACAUAACUACCAAGUGGUGGACCCAUGUGGUCAGCUCUAGAAAACAAAAUCAGAACGUUGGUCUGUGAAUGUAGAAUCAGGGCAAAUAAAUUCCUGUCCACCCAAAACCUCAGGACAUGACCUUGUUGGGAAAAGGAGUCUUUCCAGAUGUGAUUAGUUAAGUUAAAAUGAGGUCAUACUGGAUUAGAAUAGGCCCUACAUCCAAAGUUUGUGUCUUUUUGUUUUUAAGUUUAUUUAUUUAUUUUUGAGCGAGAGAGAGAGAGCGCGCACACACACACACACACGCACACGCACAAGUGGGGGGAAGGCAGAGAGACAGGGAGACAUACAAUCUGAAGCAGGCUCCAGGCUCUGAGCUGUUGGGACCCAACAUGGGGCUCGAACCCACAAACUGAGAUCAUGACCUGAGCCUAAGUUGGCUGCUUAACCAACUGAGCCACCUAAGCGCCCCCUAAAGUUUGUGUCUUGGUAAGAAGAGGAGAGGUCACACAGAGACGGAAAAGAAUCAGACGCAGAUGGGAAGGAUGCAGCUACAAGCCAGGGAAUACCUAAAGCCACCAGAAAGGGGAAGAGGAAGGCAGGAGCCUCCCCUGGGGGAAAACAGCCCUGCUAACACUUGGAUUUCUGACUUGUAGCUUCUACAGCUGUGCCAGAAUGCGAGAAGGCGUUGUUAAGCCACCUAGUUUGUGGCCAUUUGUUAUGGCAGCCACAGGAAACUAAUGUAAAAGGCCUGUGGUUUCUGUCCUGGAAGCCAACUGGUGAGCUUUAUUAUGCGGUUCUACCUGCCAAAACCACCACACUCCUCCUGUUGGCUGAUUAAGGCACCUUCUCCCUGCACAGAGCUGGUGCUUUACCCUCCUUUUUGAGGACUUCAGGCU